rnacentral:rRNA from 1 species
GACAGAGGGUGCAAACGUUGUUCGGAAUUACUGGGCGUAAAGCGCGUGUAGGCGGCUAUGCAAGUCGGACGUGAAAUCCCUCGGCUUAACCGGGGAACUGCGUCCGAUACUGGAUGGCUUGAGUUCGGGAGAGGGAUGCGGAAUUCCAGGUGUAGCGGUGAAAUGCGUAGAUAUCUGGAGGAACACCGGUGGCGAAGGCGGCAUCCUGGACCGACACUGACGCUGAGGAGCGAAAGCCAGGGGAGCAAACGGG